CACUCCACCCCUGUUUCAGCUAUUUCUCAAUUUGGUCCAGUGUUCAAGCCCAACCUUUGGAGUCGAGUCCCACCUCCUACCUCAGAACCACCACCAUAAUCAGGAUUUAGAAUGCAUCACCCCAAAAUGUUUCUUCAUGUCCCUGGCCCCUUGCUUUCAAUCUCCUACAGCUCCUAGAUGUGGAAUGUAUGCCCUGCAGGCUGGUCUCUUUCCUGAGAGCUGAGAUGUCCUGUCCUAAGAGCCUGGCACGUGUCGGACAACUGUGGAGGGAACUGAUGAGUGAAAGAGAGAAUGGAGAAAGGAAUGAAUCAGCAUAAGCCCCACAGGGACAAAGACUGUAACUGGAGCACCCUUUCAUCCCCACUGCUGGACACAGGGUGGGGAACACUAAAUGUGCGCUACGCAUUGUUUAUCGAAACAGGCUCUACAUCAAAAUAAAAAACAAA
rnacentral:lncRNA from 1 species